CUACGGGCUGCUCCAGUGAGGAAUUUUGCGCAAUGGGGGAAACCCUGACGCAGCAACGCCGCGUGAGUGAUGAAGACCUUCGGGUCGUAAAGCUCUGUCAAGUGGGAAAAAAUACUUCCGGUCGAUACCCGGAAGGACUGAUGGUACCACUGGAGGAAGCACCGGCUAACUCCGUGCCAGCAGCCGCGGUAAUACGGAGGGUGCAAGCGUUGUUCGGAUUUACUGGGCGUAAAGAGCGUGUAGGCGGUUUGGCAAGUCAGAUGUGAAAGCCCUGGGCUUAACUCAGGAAGUGCAUUUGAAACUGCCAAACUAGAGUAUGGGAGAGGAGAGUGGAAUUCCCAGUGUAGAGGUGAAAUUCGUAGAUAUUGGGAGGAACACCGGUGGCGAAGGCGACUCUCUGGACCAAUACUGACGCUGAGACGCGAAAGCGUGGGGAGCAAACAGGAUUAGAUACCCCCGUACUC
rnacentral:rRNA from 1 species